rnacentral:rRNA from 1 species
CGUGCCAGCAGCCGCGGUAAUACGUAGGUGGCAAGCGUUGUCCGGAAUUACUGGGUGUAAAGGGCGAGUAGGUGGAUCACUAAGUCAGAGGUGAAAACCCAUGGCUAAACUGUGGGAUAGCAACUGAAACUAGAGAUCCUGAGUACUGGAGAGGGAAGCGGAAUUCCUAGUGUAGCGGUGAAAUGCGUAGAUAUUAGGAGGAACACCAGUGGCGAAGGCGGCUUCCUGGACAGAGACUGACACUGAGGCGCGAAAGCGUGGGGAGCGAACAGGAUUAGAUACCCUGGUAGUCCACGCUGUAAACGAUGGAUACUAGGUGUAGGUGGUAAGAAACCAUCUGUGCCGGAGUAAACACAAUAAGUAUCCCACCUGGGGAGUACAGCCGCAAGGUUGAAACUCAAAGGAAUUGACGGGGGCCCGCACAAGCAGUGGAGUAUGUGGCUUAAUUCGAAGCAACGCGAAGAACCUUACCAGGGCUUGACAUCCCUUGAACUAUCUAGAGAUAGGUAGGGCCUACGGGACAAGGAGACAGGUGGUGCAUGGUUGUCGUCAGCCCGUGUCGUGAGAUGUUGGGUUAAGUCCCGCAACGAGCGCAACCCUUAUAGCUAGUUGCCAGCAAUAAGAUGGGGACUCUAGCGAGACAGCCGUUGAGAAAACGGAGGAAGGAAAGGAUGACGUCAAAUCAUCAUGCCCCUUAUGCUCUGGGCUACACACGUACUACAAUGGCUACUACAGAGGGAAGCGAAGCCAGGAGGCGGAGCAAAUCUCAAAAAGGUAGUCCCAGUUCAGAUUGUAGGCUGAAACUCGCCUGCAUGAAGUAGGAAUUGCUA